GAUGAACGCUGGCGGCGUGCCUAAUACAUGCAAGUCGAGCGAACAGAUGAGGAGCUUGCUCCUCUGACGUUAGCGGCGGACGGGUGAGUAACACGUGGAUAACCUACCUAUAAGACUGGGAUAACUUCGGGAAACCGGAGCUAAUACCGGAUAAUAUAUUGAACCGCAUGGUUCAAUAGUGAAAGCCGGUUUUGCUGUCACUUAUAGAUGGAUCCGCGCCGCAUUAGCUAGUUGGUAAGGUAACGGCUUACCAAGGCAACGAUGCGUAGCCGACCUGAGAGGGUGAUCGGCCACACUGGAACUGAGACACGGUCCAGACUCCUACGGGAGGCAGCAGUAGGGAAUCUUCCGCAAUGGGCGAAAGCCUGACGGAGCAACGCCGCGUGAGUGAUGAAGGUCUUCGGAUCGUAAAACGCUGUUAUUGGGGAAGAACAAAUGUGUAAGUAACUAUGCACGUCUUGACGGUACCUAAACAGAAAGCCACGGCUAACUACGUG
rnacentral:rRNA from 1 species